UCUCCGUAGGUGAACCAGCGGAGGGAUCAUUACAGGACUCGCAAGACUCCUUCACCCUGUGAACCUCACUACAAGCACGUUGCUUCGGCGGGUGUCCCGGCGGGGGUUUUCCCUCGCCGGGGCGCACAGCCCGCCGGCAGCCUACUAUACUCUGUCUCUUUGCGUUGGCAUCUCGAGAAAAAACAAACAAGUUAAAACUUUCAACAACGGAUCUCUUGGUUCUG
rnacentral:misc_RNA from 1 species